AUGGUCAGGGAAAAGAUGAGAAGAGAUGAUUCAAUGGGUUCUACAAGGCAGUAUUCUGCUCUGGUUGGAAGGCUCAGCGGGCUUACUCCUACUGCCUCUGCUGCUUUGGCUGGAAAGAGAUGAGACUAGACCAACCCCGAGGAGUGCAUGACACAGGGAUAGCAGGAGCUGGUUCUCUCUCCGUGAGGAAGAUAUUGUGCUGAGACACUCAAGGUGAGGUUGGAAGGAAUUGGGAAGGAUUUAGUGGAUGGGAGAGGUGACGAAGCCAAACAUGGUGUGGACAGCUGACAACAGAGCCUGGCAAAGGACUGUCCCCUCCUAGUUAGGCAGCGAAUGCAGAGGGCCUUUUGUACAAGAGGGUUCCAUCCACUCCCUUUGGCUCUUCAUGAUCUUUCCUGUGGACAUUGCAGAAGAAUGCAGGAAGGUGACCUUGGAGGAAUAUGUGGUUCGUGUUGGAACACUGGCCACACCACAUUAUUGGAGAGAUGCCCCCUGGAAGCCUAACAAGACGCAGCUCAAUGUUUCAAAUGCUGGCAACAAGAAAAAAUUUUCAUUUCCAAUGGCCACUUGUGUCCUGGAACUUUCAACUCAAAUAAUAAGACAUUCUAGCUUAA